UGGGACCCCUGAAGACCUC
rnacentral:piRNA from 1 species